UUAAAAAUAAACAAAAACAUUUAAUUAAUUCAGAACUUUAUCCCGUCCCACCACAAUCAAAUACCAAAUAUGUGGGUAGUUUGACAUAUAUUGGACCAAUAUCGGAUAAAAUAGCUAAAAUAUUUAGGAAAAACAAUAUUAAUGUGUCCUUCCGAACGAAUCAAAAUGAGUCUCUUCCCAGAUUUUGGCGAAACAACACGUCCUGAGGAUGCCUCAUGUAGAGGCGAAACACGUGUCGAAUUGUUUUAAAGACGAAUGUUGGCGGAAUUAACACUAAAGAAAACUUAAAUCAUUUGUAUAAUUAUGGAUUUCCGCAAAGUAACGCCUAAUUCAAUAAAAAAGAUGACACUUCACUCAUAUUCUAAGUGAAAAGAGGCCAAUUUUAUAUGACGGAGUAAUUAAUGUUCUAUCUGACAUUGUGUACUGGCUUAACACAAAUAACCUAUUGCUAAUUGUCAAAAAUGUAAAUGCAAACGAAAUUUUUUUAAGCGGAGAAGUGGUACAACCGGUGUAAUCUGCUAUAUUUCUUGGCUCUUGAUUCCAAAUAACAAUGUAAUCCCCAUAUUGAAGGAUUGGCAAAAGGCAAAAUGAGGACACAAUUAACUGACAUAUAAUAUAAAAUAACUUUAGUUAUUUUUCAUAGUAUAAUGUCCCAGGAUAAAUUUUAAUCUUUGUGCUGCAAAGAGGGCUACUCGCGCUAGGUCCUUAAGAAUCGUAAAGAGAAACAUUCCAAGAAAUAAGGAUUUAAACUGUUGCAUCUCUAUAUUAUAUUCUUACAAAUGUUAUAUAUGUUCAUAGAAACUAUAGUAAUUUUGCUGUUAUAACCUUAAUGUUAACACAAACAAAUACUCGCUAACUUCAAGUUCAUAUAAAAUAUCAAAAUCUACCAACCAUUUGAAAAGAUAUGCUAUAAUCCUGAGAAUAAGUGACGCAAGAAACUUAGUAAGUCUCAAUUUAUACAAAAUUGCAUUGCAAUAUAUUCCUUAUUAACCCAGGUGUCGCUCCAUUGAUAAAAAAUAUAUUAUAGAAUACAGUGUUCAUAGAGUACAGAAUAAUUAUUAUGGUCAGCUAAUGUCAAAAUGCCUACAAAUUUGUGAGCCUCACAGAGCUACGGUAUUUAUUUAUAUUUUAUAUCUAAGUUUUAUAUCAUUAGUUUUAUACAGAGUUAUAUUAAAAUGAGAUGACUAUUGCCGCUGUUUUAUUAGCCCUGGCUCUAUUAGUGAACAAGAUAUCUGUUACAUACCAAGAUAAUCUGCUGUUACAACAACACUUCUCAGCAAAACUUGUGUUCCUUUUAAGCGUCUGCCUGUUCUUGCAUAGUUUACGCCUGUUUCACUGCAGUCGCUACGUAAAGAUAUAUCCGCUUUGUUUCGUUGCCGAGGUUCUGACGUCUUUGGUUCUUCUAGAAUUUUCUGAACAAUACAUAUGGGAACCGGUCAAAUUAUACAUACACCGAAACGCAGAUGAUGUCCUGAUUCAAUUGUACAACUAUGAGAGCUUUGACUUCAUAAUAUGUCCCUUGUGUUGCGGCAAACACGACUGCUCCGAGGACUUCACUCGCCUGGCAUUGAAAAUCUGCAGCUUUGGUUCGUUUGCGAUAAUUUGUUUGUUGACUAAAUUACAACUUUAAACAUGGU